rnacentral:rRNA from 1 species
UGCAUGUCUCAGUAUAAGCUUCUAUACGGCGAAACUGCGAAUGGCUCAUUAAAACAGUUAUAGUUUAUUUGAUGGUCAUUCUUUACAUGGAUAACCGUGGUAAUUCUAGAGCUAAUACAUGCGCCCAAACCCGACUUCGAGGAAGGGUUGUGUUUAUUAGUUACAGAACCAACCCAGGCUCUGCCUGGUCUUGUGGUGAUUCAUAAUAACCGAACGAAUCGCUAUCCCAAGCGAUGAAUCAUUCAAGUUUCUGACCUAUCAGCUUCCGACGGUAGGGUAUUGGCCUACCGUGGCGUUGACGGGUAACGGAGAAUUAGGGUUCGAUUCCGGAGAGGGAGCCUGAGAAACGGCUACCACAUCUAAGGAAGGCAGCAGGCGCGCAAAUUACCCAAUCCUGACACAGGGAGGUAGCGACAAGAAAUAACAAUACAGGGCAUUAUUGUCUUGUAAUUGGAAUGAGUAGAAUUUAAAUCCCUUUACGAGUACCGAUUGGAGGGCAAGUCUGGUGCCAGCAGCCGCGGUAAUUCCAGCUCCAAUAGCGUAUAUUAAAGUUGUUGCGGUUAAAAAGCUCGUAGUUGGAUUUCUGCCGAGGACGACCGGUCCGCCCUCUGGGUGAGCAUCUGGCUCGACCUGGGCAUCUUCUUGGAGAACGUAGCUGCACUUGAUUGUGUGGUGCGGUAUCCAGGACUUUUACUUUGAGGAAAUUAGAGUGUUUCAAGCAGGCACACGCCUUGAAUACAUUAGCAU